rnacentral:rRNA from 1 species
GUGCCAGCAGCCGCGGUAAUACGGAGGAUCCAAGCGUUAUCCGGAAUCAUUGGGUUUAAAGGGUCCGUAGGCGGGAUAAUAAGUCAGCGGUGAAAGUCUGUGGCUCAACCAUAGAAUUGCCAUUGAUACUGUUGUUCUUGAGUGCUUAUGAAGUGGUUAGAAUAUGUAGUGUAGCGGUGAAAUGCAUAGAUAUUACAUAGAAUACCGAUUGCGAAGGCAGAUCACUAAUAAGAUACUGACGCUGAUGGACGAAAGCGUAGGUAGCGAACAGGAUUAGAUACCCUGGUAGUCUACGCCGUAAACGAUGGUUACUAGCUGUUUGGUCUUCGGACUGAGUGGCUAAGCGAAAGUGAUAAGUAACCCACCUGGGGAGUACGUUCGCAAGAAUGAAACUCAAAGGAAUUGACGG